rnacentral:lncRNA from 1 species
UUUAAAUCAUAAUAAAAAAUGUAAUUUUUUUAAAACAAAACGGGCUAACUUCAAAUUAAUUGAAAUAGGCCCAAACCAAAGAAAAUGGGUUAUACCUUACUGGGCUCGAAUUAGCCCAACCCGUCGACCUGCAGAAGCCCAAAUCUGUUACACCCGGCCUGCCUCCUGAGAUCCACAAAGCAGAGUUCAAAACGCACCGUUUGGUGCCUGUGGGGCUGCUCAAAACGACGUCGUUUGGGCCUAGACCUUCCAACUUCUGUCACUCCACUAAAACGACACCGUUUUGCUCUCCUUCCUCUGGGUAUAAAAACCCUUUUUAGCUUUUUUUAUUCAUUUUCAAAUUUCUUUUUCUCUCUCUAGCUGGCCAUUCUCUGUCUUCUCUCUAAAACCUUCUUUCCUCUCUUUGCCGACGUUCUUUCUUCUCUCUCUGGUCGACCUCUCUCCGAACACCUACUCGUCGACCUCUCUCUCUUCUCUCUAAUCGUCGGCCUUUCUCUAAACACCUACUUUCUACCCACCGGCCACCGCAAAAACUCUUUUCGUUUCACUUCUUCCCUUCUUCAACUUUCAGCCGGUAGCCUCCCUUGACGCCGAUCUCCCUGUCGAUUCUCCCCUACCCAAAAUACUUUUUUCUACCCUUAAACUCUCAUUUCCCUCAUUUUUCAGAUCUCACUAGUUUUCUUUUUUGAUUUUUUCUUUGUGUUUGUUUUGAUUUUUUUGUAUUUCUUUGCUUGUGGCUAGGUAGCUUUCGGUGGUAGCUUUUUGAUCUGUGUUUU